UGCUCAAGGACUACAGCUUUCCGAGUUAGCAUAUCCUGGAUGGCUUCAUCUUUCAUUUUUGGCAUACUGCGCUUCAGGAAGGCAUUUACGAACGCUCUGGCCUCCUCGGAUCCUUGAGGCUGACGAGACACAUUUGGAAGAAAGCUAACCUAAGUGGGAGAGUACCCUGAAGGAAGGACCGCGGCGCGGCUUUCUGGUAGCCCCUAUGGAAAGCAAUAUAAAGCUAUAUUUGGCUGCUUGUCUGCUGUGAGCUUUUGAGUACAAUCUGCCGUGAUUAUGUGAGCUGCUUGAGCUCCAUUUGGCUGUUUUGGGAAUGUAGGUGUUGCUCAAAUAAAAAUAGAUGACUUCAGCAUGACCACGGAAUUGACUGAGCACAUUCCCUGUGCGGACUGUACAGCAUGGCUGUUUCCUACUUCGGAGAAACCACAGCUUGUAAAUUCUACAACGUUCCCAGGUGUUCAGCAGCUGGCCUGACCUGGCCACGACGACAGGGAGGCUGCAGAAAAGCUGCACAGCAGUGGGCAACACAGGUGUGGGCAGUGCCGGCACCAAGGACACCACCGCGCCAUGAUGCCUGCACCAUUUACCUGUGGAGUAACUGCAACUGUUCCUAUGUGAACCAACCAAAGGCAAAGAUGCCUGGUCUGUGCUGCUUGCAGAGGCACAGAGGACUCCCUGCCCACUGAACAGCCUCCUGCAUUGGUGCUCAGAGAUCUGUGGUACUGUGAGACUGCCAGGGGACAAAAACACCAUGAAAGCCCCCAAACAAUGAAAAAUCCCUGUAUUUUUUCUCCGCUUUAAGCGAACAUUUUAUCAUCUAAACACUCCCUUUUUUGAUCAGAAAUCAUUUUCAUGCAUUGGUAUUUCUGCGCUCUCCCACAGCCCUGUAACACAUUUUUCCUUACCCAGCAGUAGACAUCCAUAAGGCCCAACAGCAGUGUGUCCCCAAGGGCCAGCAGGCUGGCCAGGCUGGAGAGGGCUUGCAGCACAUGCCCCAGGCCAAACUCCUUUGACAGGUCUGGGCCUCCUGGCUCUCAGGACGCAGUCGACUAUUCAAAACAAGCAAAUUACUCGCUUGCUACAAAUUAAUAUUCUCCCAACUCUCUGCAAUUAGUCUUUGCUAAAAGCAUUAAGACUUUAACAUGUUUGAUCCCAUCAAUUUUCUGUUCUUUGCUAAUUAAAUAGAUGUACUAGGGAAGUUUGAAUAAUAACUGCCUGAAGUUUGAGGAUAAUAAACAAAUGAACUCUGCCUGCCUCUGGCUAAACAUGAAAUUUACUGUUUAGUAACAAAUACAACAGAGGCAGCACAUACAUUAACAAACUUAGUUUUGAUACACACAUUUGAGAGCACAUUAUUUAUUUACUUACUAAUUCUAAGUGAGAAGACACUCCAAAGUGUUUUAUGCAGUGAGAAACGUAUCAGACUUUUGCAUUCUCCAUCACAGAGUUAGUGAACACUCUUGUCUUUCUCCGCUUUGGUGGGCCUCUGACCCUCUUGCCAUUCGUAACAGUAUGUUCAGGACUGCAUGCUUUACUUUCCUUAGGAGUUAUGCCAGAAAAGGAACAUAAGCAGGAAAUAGUUAAUUUUGCUUUUUUGCUAGGUCUUGCUGGGUCUUGGUGUUUUGAAGGUUAUCUGUAUGCUAUAAAAACUACUUUUGUUCGAUGUAUUUUUUUUACAUGUGCAUGGAUCUAGCAUCAGCAAUGUCACACUGCUGUAAAUAUUUUUUAUGAAAUCCAUUAACUUCAGUGAAUUUAUACCAACUUAACUUAGCAAACUAUGGCUGAUGAUGCAGACUGGAAAUAUUACAAGAAAAGGUGCAAAGUUCUAUCGAUUUUCUCUUAGGAAAAAAUGUGUGUUUCCCUAUGAUUUUAUUACAGAUGACUCAGCUUUGGCCCCUAUUAGCCAUCACUCAUGUCCCCAACUCGGCUGCUUUGGUAUCUUGACCAGGAGGAGCCAUUACACAGGGCAUCCUCCUGAACAAGUAGCAGGGGCACUGUGCCCACCUGCUCCAGCCCACCAACCUCGCACAGCACGUCAAAGACUUACCCAGCCUACCACUGUUCUGUUUUGUUGUUGUUUUGUUUGGUUUUUGGACUUUCUGCCCAGCUUUCAGUGGUGACUGCAGGAAACACAAAGCCUUCUACAACUGUGCAGUCCAAGCACUUUAUCUAAUAGACUCUGACAGCACACACCACAAGGAAUGCUGAGAUAUAUGAAAGAGCAACAUUUGCCACUAGCCUCUAUCCAUAAAGGGUAAAGCAAAAACUCAGUUUGCCCUUUGUAAAUAUAAUCAGCAGAAG